rnacentral:rRNA from 1 species
GAUGAACGCUAGCGGCAGGCUUAAUACAUGCAAGUCGAGGGGCAGCAUGGUGUAGCAAUACACUGAUGGCGACCGGCAAACGGGUGCGGAACACGUACAGAACCUUCCUUCGAGCGGGGAAUAGCCCAGAGAAAUUUGGAUUAAUACCCCAUAGUAUAACGGAGAGGCAUCUCUUUGUUAUUAAAGAUUUAUCACUUGAAGAUGGCUGUGCGGCUGAUUAGGUAGUUGGCGGGGUAACGGCCCACCAAGCCUGCGAUCAGUAACUGGUGUGAGAGCACGACCAGUCACACGGGCACUGAGACACGGGCCCGACUCCUACGGGAGGCAUCAGUAAGGAAUAUUGGUCAAUGGACGAAAGUCUGAACCAGCCAUGCCGCGUGGAGGAUGAAGGUCCUCUGGAUUGUAAACUCCUUUUAUAUGGGACGAAAAAAGACUUUUCUAAGUCGUCUGACGGUACCAUAUGAAUAAGCACCGGCUAACUCCGUGCCAGCCGCCGCUGUAAGAC